rnacentral:piRNA from 1 species
UACGUCUGGCCAGAGAAGAAUUCAGAGU